CAGACUGCGGCAAGUAGACAUGUUUGGUGAACGUUAGUGGAACAUGUGCGAAGGUUUCGUGAACAAAAAUUGUGAAAUUCUUAUCAUCGGUAAUUUCUUGUGAAAGUGGUACGAUAUGAGUGUGACAUAGUGUGAUACUGCAUUCUAAAAUGUGUGUGGGAAUCAUUUGGUGUUGUGUAAAAUGUUAACAGAGAAGCUGCAAGCAUACAGAUUUCAAACGGCGACCUUCAGCGUGUAACUGGUAGCGAUGUGAUGUCCACCCAUCAAACCCGUCCGAAAAUGUGCACAGCUAUAUAUCAGUAUGUUCAGCGCCGCAGGGGAAAUUGAAUUUUACUACGUGCUGCUGUGUGAGGCGCGACCAAAGCAUUAGGUAGGCCGCACACCGGCAUGCGUCAAGGCAUGUAACAGUCAAGACACGAUGUCUGCGACAUGACGCAAAGAAAGGAGCACAGUUGAAACGAAUGAGAUUAUGAAAACCGCCGCACACCGGUCUGAGUCAUGAUGUUGACGUCAGCUUCAUGCUGCAGACACGUGCAGCGAGACUCGGAUUGUUCCUUUUCUGUGCGUCAGGACUGAGACAUCAGUACUCAAGUAACAGGACCAGUGUACGUUAUCGACAUGAGUGAAGAAUAACAAAUAUUAAGAUAGUGCAGACGGUUGAGAAAUUCCCGGUAAUAUACGAUUAUUCGACCCCGGGCCACUCAAACAAGGAGGAGGUUGAUAAAGCUUGGCAUGCAGUUUCAAAAGAAGUAAACGUUGAUGAAAGUAAGAACACAAAUGGUUCCUCAUUUCAACGGCCUCAGUAGUUGCUCUUCUGCAGCAGGGCUGGAAUAUAGAUUCACAACUGCCUUUGUCAUGGUCAUCAUCAUCUUCACCCAGACUCUGCUCGCUAAAUAAGCCGUCCUUUAACCUGAUGAAGUUAUGGAGGACACAGAUUGCCCGUAUUAUAUUGUCUGUUUUAUUAGGUUUACACGCUAUAGCCGUUCCAAGAAUCAACUAGAGAAGAUAUGAUAGGACGCAGACACUUGCUGCUUCGGUGUGCGGACUCGAGUUUGAAUCACGAAUGAAGCAAAACUGCGUCUUUUGUCUCAUGUCUUGAUGCUUGUCUUGACGCAGUUGGU